GCCGGACGUGGUGGUGCAUGCCUGUAGUCCCAGCUACUCGGGAGGCUGAGGCAGAGGAAUCACUUGAACCCGGGAGGUGGAGGUUGCAGUGAGCUGAGAUCUCAGCCACUGCACUCCAACCUGGGCAACAGAGCGAGACUCUGUCUCAA
rnacentral:SRP_RNA from 1 species